AGUACAUUUGUCUAUAAACUUGAUCAAACUUGACUCCCGACAAAGUCAGGACAUCUUAUAUCUACGAACAAAGGCAGUAUAUCCAUAUGAAAAAAUGCAAAAGAGGAACCCGUUUUCAAGUUCAGUCAAAAUUGAUCUUGUACAAAAGUUUAACCAAAUUUAAUCAUUUUCUUUCCAUCGCCCCUGCUAUGAUAAGAUCGGCUAGGUCAGCUCAUACAUCACUUUGUUGAAAAAACAUAGCAUCUUCAUAAGCAAUAUGACGAACCAGAGGUUAGUGCUAGACAGACUGGUCUUAAAUCCUCAGCGCCAUUCCGUUUGCCGCUUAGCUUACACGGCUCGGCACCACAUGCUAUAUUUGGUGCUGAACACCAGAUCCAUAUUUUCCUCGUGAAAACACCAAAAAAAAACCAGCGGCAUGAUGUAUGAUGCUAACCUAGCUAAUCUCAACGUUGAAAACACUAAAAAAAAAGUCAUUCGGUUAAAGUUUUGUACCAGGGUCAUUAGGGAAUAUGUCUAUUUUCACACGAUUCGGUCAUUCUAGACUAGUAAAUAUCACACAUCUCAACAUUUGAAGUUUCAAAACUGGAUAAAUUUGAUUCAUAACUUAAAACUUUUGAAAGCAGAAAUAAUGAUGACACACCGGUGAUUCUGAGAUGAGACAACCACUAAUGCACAAAAAUGCCCCAAUAAUAUGGAAAAACGCGAGUAAAACUGCAAACACAUCUUAAUUUUUGAGGGCAAACAAAUAAUCAUAAAAUGUUGUGAAUAAAAGAAUCAAAACCAAGAAAAAUAGAAAAGGAAAAAAAAAGUAGAGAACCUAUAAACAUGAAUUACUAAAAUGACUUGAUAAAAAUCCUAGAAGUAUAUUAUGCAAAAAUUGAGUUUUCUGUUUUGUUACAAAUAUUGUUUGAAAAUCUAGACAAUCACAACAUUCUACCUAAAAUAUUUACAUUUUUCUCCAAAUUUAGAAAAACAAUACUUACGGUUUCCCCUUGUCCUAACUUUUUUCGGGGUAAAAAACAUGGUUUCAAUAUAUUAUUAUUUCUUAACACUUCUAUUAUUUUUACAUUUUCCUUAAAUUUAGAUAAGACUGUAGUUUUCUAAGAACAAGUUUUGCCUCGACGUGGAAAACCCGAUCAUGUCAAUGAUCAUGCCGCUUUGACUUAGUCUAUGAACCAAAUUUAUUUGCUUUCCUCCAAGAUGUUUAGUUUGUGAAGUUGAGGGGUCAAAAACGAAACAUGCCAAAAGUUUAGAGAACAAAAAAGGACAUUAGCUUAUCUUAUUUAUAUAAGAUAUGUAUAUCUUAUUAGAAAAAAAAAACUCCCAACAAUCAGCAAAAACACUAAUAUAAUUUCUCAAUCAAACUUGACGUUAUUACUUAAAUACAAAUAUUGUAAACAAGAACACAAUAAUAAAUAACUAUUAUAUUUCUCGCCACACACGCGCCCAAACGUGUGAUAUUUACAACAUAUAUUAACUUGAUGGAAUGGAUAUGCCAGAAUAUGAAGAGUUACGUUUCAUACAUAAUAUGAAGUGCACUGUCAUUUUCUUACAAACAGAACUAUAUUCGCCCAAAUGUAUUUUAAAAUUCAAGUAACAGAAGUAUUCAAAUUCUGUAAUCAUCUACACUUAUAUAUCAUCUCCAUC
rnacentral:lncRNA from 1 species